UUACCUGCAUAUUUUUUCCCAAUCUUGACAAUGGUUUCCUUGCUAAACGUAUAGGAUUUCGUCUUCAACCAAAAAUGAAUAAGAGCUAUGAACAAUAUGAUAAGCAAACAAAUUUUCAAGAAACGCAUUGACAUUUCCUUUCUUUCAAAGGAUAAUUUCAGCUGUUUUAAUACUUCCCAAUGUGAUAAGCACAGACCAAUUAUUCCAUUAGUCAGACCAGAGUCUCUGGUUACGGGCGGUACUAUUGAUCUAUUGGAUAAGUACGGUUUUC